rnacentral:rRNA from 1 species
UACGUAGGGUGCAAGCGUUGUCCGGAAUUAUUGGGCGUAAAGAGCUCGUAGGCGGUUUGUCGCGUCUGCUGUGAAAAUCCAGGGCUUAACCCUGGACCUGCAGUGGGUACGGGCAGACUAGAGUGCGGUAGGGGAGAUCGGAAUUCCUGGUGUAGCGGUGAAAUGCGCAGAUAUCAGGAAGAACACCGGUGGCGAAGGCGGCUCUCUGGGCCUUACCUGACGCUGAGGAGCGAAAGCGUGGGUAGCGAACAGG